rnacentral:rRNA from 1 species
UACAGGUGCUGCACUGGCUGUCGUCAGCUCGUGUCGUGAGAUGUUGGUUAAGUCCCGCAACGAGCGCAACCCUCGCCCUUAGUUGCCAGCAUUUAGUUGGGCACUCUAAGGGGACGUGCCGGUGAUAAGCCGAGAGGAAGGUGGGGAUGACGUCAAGUCCUCAUGGCCCUUACGGGCUGGGCUACACACGUGCUACAAUGGUGGUGACAGUGGGCAGCGAGCACGCGAGUGUGAGCUAAUCUCCAAAAGCCAUCUCAGUUCGGAUUGCACUCUGCAACUCGAGUGCAUGAAGUUGGAAUCGCUAGUAAUCGCGGAUCAGCAUGCCGCGGUGAAUACGUUCCCGGGCCUU